rnacentral:rRNA from 1 species
AUUGAACGCUGGCGGCAGGCCUAACACAUGCAAGUCGAGCGAGCGGCGGACGGGUGAGUAAUGUAUGGGGACUGCCCGAUAGAGGGGGAUAACUACUGGAAACGGUAGCUAAUACCGCAUACUAUCGGAUAACCCAUAUGGGAUUAGCUAGUAGGUGAGGUAAUGGCUCACCUAGGCGACGAUCCCUAGCUGGUCUGAGAGGAUGAUCAGCCACACUGGGACUGAGACACGGCCAGGACUCCUACGGAGGCAGAAGUGGGGAAGAUUGCACAAUGGGCGCAAGCCUGAUGAGGCCAUGCCGCGUGGAUGAGGAGGGCCCUAGGGUUGUAAAGUACUUUCAGUCGGGAGACGUUACCGACAGAAGAAGCACCGGCUAACUCCGUGCCAGCAGCCGCGGUAAUUC